CGAUAAGUAGUGUGAAUUGCAGAAUUCAGAGGAUCAUCGAAUCUUUGAACGCAAAUGGCGCUCUUGGGUUCCCCCAGGAGCAUGUCUGUCUGAGUGUCU
rnacentral:rRNA from 1 species